GCCUAAAGCGUCCGUAGCCGGCUUUGUAAGUUUUCGGUUAAAUCUAUAUGCUCAACAUAUAGGCUGUCGGGAAUACUGCAAAGCUAGGGAGUGGGAGAGGUAGACGGUACUCCGUAGGAAGGGGUAAAAUCCUUUGAUCUAUGGAUGACCACCUGUGGCGAAGGCGGUCUACCAGAACACGUUCGACGGUGAGGGAUGAAAGCUGGGGGAGCAAACCGGAUUAGAUACCCGGGUAGUCCCAGCUGUAAACUAUGCAAACUCAGUGAUGCAUUGGCUUGUGGCCAGUGCAGUGCCGCAGGGAAGCCGUUAAGUUUGCCGCCUGGGAAGUACGUACGCAAGUAUGAAACUUAAAGGAAUUGGCGGGGGAGCACCACAAGGGGUGAAGCCUGCGGUUCAAUUGGAGUCAACGCCAGAAAUCUUACCCGGAGAGACAGCAGGAUGAAGGUCAAGCUGAAGACUUUACCAGACAAGCUGAGAAGUGGUGCAUGGCCGUCGCCAGCUCGUGCCGUGAGGUGUCCUGUUAAGUCAGGUAACGAGCGAGAUCCUUGCCUCUAGUUGCCACCAUUACUCUCAGGAGUAGUGGGGCGAAUUAGCGGGACUGCCGUAGUUAAUACGGAGGAAGGAGAGGGCCACGGCAGGUCAGUAUGCCCCGAA
rnacentral:rRNA from 1 species